rnacentral:rRNA from 1 species
AAAUUGAAGAGUUUGAUCAUGGCUCAGAUUGAACGCUGGCGGCAGGCCUAACACAUGCAAGUCGAACGGUAACAGGAAACAGCUUGCUGUUUCGCUGACGAGUGGCGGACGGGUGAGUAAUGUCUGGGAAACUGCCUGAUGGAGGGGGAUAACUACUGGAAACGGUAGCUAAUACCGCAUAACGUCGCAAGACCAAAGAGGGGGACCUUCGGGCCUCUUGCCAUCGGAUGUGCCCAGAUGGGAUUAGCUAGUAGGUGGGGUAAAGGCUCACCUAGGCGACGAUCCCUAGCUGGUCUGAGAGGAUGACCAGCCACACUGGAACUGAGACACGGUCCAGACUCCUACGGGAGGCAGCAGUGGGGAAUAUUGCACAAUGGGCGCAAGCCUGAUGCAGCCAUGC